AGAGUUUGAUCCUGGCUCAGAACGAACGCUGGCGGCAUGCCUAACACAUGCAAGUCGAACGCGUGUAGCAAUACACGAGUGGCGCACGGGUGAGUAACGCGUGGGAACCUGCCCUGGAGUGGGGGAUAACCCGGCGAAAGCCGGGCUAAUACCGCAUACGACCUAAGGGUGAAAGAUUUAUCGCUCUGGGAGGGGCCCGCGUCGGAUUAGCUAGUUGGUGAGGUAACGGCUCACCAAGGCGAUGAUCCGUAGCUGGCCUGAGAGGAUGAUCAGCCACACUGGGACUGAGACACGGCCCAGACUCCUACGGGAGGCAGCAGUGGGGAAUAUUGGACAAUGGGGGCAACCCUGAUCCAGCAAUGCCGCGUGAGUGAUGAAGGCCUUAGGGUUGUAAAGCUCUUUCGGCGGGGACGAUGAUGACGGUACCCGCAGAAGAAGCCCCGGCUAACUUCGUGCCAGCAGCCGCGGUAAUACGAAGGGGGCGAGCGUUGUUCGGAAUUACUGGGCGUAAAGGGCGCGCAGGCGGCCUGAGAAGUCAGAUGUGAAAGCCCCGGGCUCAACCUGGGAAUAGCAUUUGAUACUCUGAGGCUGGAGUGCGGGAGAGGAGAGUGGAAUUCCCAGUGUAGAGGUGAAAUUCGUAGAUAUUGGGAAGAACACCGGUGGCGAAGGCGGCUCUCUGGACCGUAACUGACGCUGAGGCGCGAAAGCGUGGGGAGCAAACAGGAUUAGAUACCCUUGUAGUCC
rnacentral:rRNA from 1 species